UACGGCCACAACACAUUGAAACACCAGUUCCUGUAUGAUCACCGAAGUUAAGCAACAUCGAGUCUGGUCAGUACCUGAAUGGGUGAAUGCUUGGGAAUACCAGGUGCUGUAAG